AACGAACGCUGGCGGCAUGCCUAACACAUGCAAGUCGAACGAGAUCUUCGGGUCUAGUGGCGCACGGGUGCGUAACGCGUGGGAAUCUGCCCUUUGGUUCGGAAUAACAGUUGGAAACGACUGCUAAUACCGGAUGAUGACGAAAGUCCAAAGAUUUAUCGCCAGAGGAUGAGCCCGCGUAGGAUUAGCUAGUUGGUGUGAUAAAGGCGCACCAAGGCGACGAUCCUUAGCUGGUCUGAGAGGAUGAUCAGCCACACUGGGACUGAGACACGGCCCAGACUCCUACGGGAGGCAGCAGCGGGGAAUAUUGGACAAUGGGCGAAAGCCUGAUCCAGCAAUGCCGCGUGAGUGAUGAAGGCCUUAGGGUUGUAAAGCUCUUUUACCCGGGAUGAUAAUGACAGUACCGGGAGAAUAAGCUCCGGCUAACUCCGUGCCAGCCGCCGCAGUAA
rnacentral:rRNA from 1 species